rnacentral:misc_RNA from 1 species
UAUCACUGUAUAUGAUUACUUUGCGUUCAACUUUUUUAUCAUGAUUUUGACAGUUGAUAACACAAUAUUAUUAUUAUGAUUGUGUGCAUAGCCUAUUUUCGCCCAAAAAUUUGCGUUCAUGUUUGUGUCGUGCUUCCUCUUGUUACUUGUUGCUUUAUUGUAGACAAAUCACAAUUGAAUAAAUUACGAGCGCUUUACUCCACUUUAUGUAGUUCAUUGUGAAACAAGCUAGAACGAACCAAAAUGGAAACAGAUAAAUAUAUUACCAUUGUUCCUGUUGAGUAUCCUCGAAACAGGCAACAGUUCAUACGGCCUCCCGAUGAAUACAGUGACUUUCCACAAAACCGGAAUUGGCCCCAUACGAGAGCAGUUAGGACCGAAUCAAGUACUAUGCGGAGGAAAGAACUGAAACGAUCAUUGGAACACAAAAGAUCUCACAAUCAUUCUCGUAAUGAUCCUAUACAGUCAUGUUCCAAGCCAAUAAUAAGUGCUCCACUAGCAUUCCAAACCGCUCCAAAACCUAUAAAGAAACCGCUUAGUGUAUACAUUUACACAAUGGCUGAUAUAGUUUUACAUAUGGAUAUAGAAGAUGCAAACACAACUACAGUAUCAGAUCUUGUUGAUAUUAUAAUAAUGCAAAAAAAUUUGGGAUUAUCAAGAAUUGCUAAGAAUAUUUUUACAAUUUGGAUGAAAUCAAACGUUUUAGAAAUCCAGUUAAAACCACAUCACAAAUUAUUGACAGUUUUUCAAAAAUGGCCCACACUUGAAGAAAAAUACUGCACUCAAACCAAAAAAGUUAUUUUUAAAGAUCCCAUUUUGAGUUUUCAAAGAAAUGUUUUUUUCCCCAGAAAAGAUGAAGAAAAAAUUAAGGACCAAAAAAUUAUUGAGCUAUUGUAUGCUGAAGCUAAAUAUAAUGUAUUACAAGGUCGGUAUCCUGUUGAAGUGAACCACUGUUUGAUGUUAGCUAGUUUGCAGUGCCGAAUAGAAUUAGGUCCAAACAAUUUACAACAGUACACCUCAAGUUUUUUUAGAGAUAACCGGGAAAGAUUUUUACCAUCACAUCUAUACAAAAGCUGGUCAUCAUGGUUAAAUCUUGAUAGAAAAAGUACGCCUCAUUCUCGACUAGCAGACCAUUUAAAACAUAUACAGAUAACUGGAUCUGAUCGUAGACUUUACCACAAGUAUUUAGAGUGCUGUUACAUGCUACCAUUUUAUGGGUGUGCUUUUUUCCAUGGUCAAAUUGAGCAACCGGUUCGAGGUUUGAUGUCUUUAAUUAACCAUAAAGAUGUUCCUAUUUACAUCGCAGUCAACACCGAAGGAGUUUAUAUCUUGGAUUGUGUGGAAAAUAGUUUAUUGUUGGGUCUUAAGUAUCAAGAUUUUUCAUGGGAAUUCGCUAAGCCAUCUCAAGAAGAUAAUGAUCAUUGUUUACCAUGUAUAUUUCUACAGUUUUUAGUAUUAGAAAACGGAACAAGAGUUUCAAAAAUUUUACAAGUGUUUUCUAAACAAGCUGUCAUGAUAGAUGCACUAAUUGCCUGUUUCGUUGAAGAUUUUAGACAUAAAUUAGCUAUGAAUGAAUAUGACGAUGUAGAUAGAACUGGUGGUUUUGAACAUAUUUCUGUUGGCGAUGGAUCUCAAGUACCUUUGGCACAUUUGUUCCGCAGCGAACCACAAUCGCGAUUGUGUAAUAAACUAAAUAAGUUGACACUAGCUACAUUUGACGAAGAUGGUAUGUUGGUUUAUAAUAUUCAUCCAUAUUAAGCGGAUCAUCUUUUAUAGUUUGUUAGCAUGUAUUCAUCAGUUAGAAAGUUGUUUAUAAUAUAGUUUAUUUUGAUCACACACGAUUAUGCAUGGUUUGUAUACUACUUAUGAAUUUAACCUACCGCAAUGGACUAAAGUCAUUGUAUCGGACAAAUGGGAUCUUGGUCAUUCAGUUACUAAAAGUGGAUACUUAAUACAAUAUAUUUUAAUUUUUUUUCUACUGAUCUCUAUACCGCCAUCCUUUUCUUUAAUUCACAUUUCUUCUACUUCUUACCAUUGAAUACUAUUUGUAUCAAGAUAUAAUACAUGUGAUUACCUUUACCUAGUCAA